CCAGACUCCUACGGGAGGCAGCAGUGGGGAAUAUUGGACAAUGGGGGGAACCCUGAUCCAGCGACGCCGCGUGAGUGAAGAAGUAUUUCGGUAUGUAAAGCUCUAUCAGCAGGGAAGAAAGAAAUGACGGUACCUGACUAAGAAGCACCGGCUAAAUACGUGCCAGCAGCCGCGGUAAUACGUAUGGUGCAAGCGUUAUCCGGAUUUACUGGGUGUAAAGGGAGCGCAGGCGGUACGGCAAGUCUGAUGUGAAAGCCCGGGGCUCAACCCCGGUACUGCAUUGGAAACUACCGGACUGGAGUGUCGGAGGGGUAAGUGGAAUUCCUAGUGUAGCGGUGAAAUGCGUAGAUAUUAGGAGGAACACCAGUGGCGAAGGCGGCUUACUGGACGAUCACUGACGCUGAGGCUCGAAAGCGUGGGGAGCAAGCAGGAUUAGAUACCCGAGUAC
rnacentral:rRNA from 1 species